GGGGGAAUAUUGCACAAUGGGGGAAACCCUGAUGCAGCGACGCCGCGUGAACGAAGAAGGUAUUCGUAUCGUAAAGUUCUGUCCUAUGGGAAGAUAAUGACAGUACCAUAGAAGAAAGCUCCGGCUAAAUACGUGCCAGCAGCCGCGGUAAUACGUAUGGAGCGAGCGUUGUCCGGAAUUAUUGGGCGUAAAGGGUACGCAGGCGGUUUAAUAAGUCGAAUGUUAAAGAUCGGGGCUCAACCCCGUAAAGCAUUGGAAACUGAUAAACUUGAGUAGUGGAGAGGAAAGUGGAAUUCCUAGUGUAGUGGUGAAAUACGUAGAUAUUAGGAGGAAUACCAGUAGCGAAGGCGACUUUCUGGACACAAACUGACGCUGAGGUACGAAAGCGUGGGGAGCAAACAGG
rnacentral:rRNA from 2 species